AUGUCCCUGCUUGCGAAGAGCAGCUGGUUUACUCUCAACUUGACGCAGAAGUAUGGAUGCUGGGAACCACGUCACCUCCUGGAUGAAGGAGAUCAUUUCACGGUUCAUUUAAGAAAAUUGGCAAAGUGCAGAGAUCCUUCAUAUAACUUCAAGAAAAUAAGACAAGACAAGAUUGUGUGCAGAGACUGGAGAGCCAGAAUAAUAAAGAGUAGAGAAGUUGUUCACGUCAGAAGAACAAUGAGGAGGGAACUUGUUCAUGUUUGCUUUUCUGUUUACCAGUAUACCGAUGAACUGUUCGUAAUGAAAAUACAAGCACAGACUAAGACAGCUCAUUGA
rnacentral:rRNA from 1 species